AAAGAAGUAGCUGAAAACCGAGCUGGCAUCACAGAUCCUGGGAGGAUCCAGAUUUGCUCCUGAAAUUUCCUCGGGCUGGCAGGGAUCAGCAAACAACUCCACUCCCUCAGAAGGAGCGACUCAGCUGCUCUUCUGACUAAGGAGCACAGGCCCCCUCUCCAUCCUGUCCACUGCAACGGGUAGCUGCUGCCUGCUCACCCACCUAUCAAUGCUUAGCCCAUUUCUUCAGGAAGCCUGGCAUGCCGUCAGGGCU